AUUGAACGCUGGCGGAAUGCUUUACACAUGCAAGUCGAACGGUAGAGGGGGGCAACCUCUCGAGAGUGGCGAACGGGUGAGUAAUAUAUCGGAACGUGCCCAGUCGUGGGGGAUAACGUAGCGAAAGUUACGCUAAUACCGCAUACGAUCUACGGAUGAAAGCGGGGGACUCGCAAGAGCCUCGCGCGAUUGGAGCGGCCGAUGUCAGAUUAGCUAGUUGGUAGGGUAAAGGCCUACCAAGGCGACGAUCUGUAGCGGGUCUGAGAGGAUGAUCCGCCACACUGGGACUGAGACACGGCCCAGACUCCUACGGGAGGCAGCAGUGGGGAAUUUUGGACAAUGGGGGAAACCCUGAUCCAGCCAUGCCGCGUGAGUGAAGAAGGCCUCGGUGUAAGACUCUUUCGGUCUGGGAGAAAUACGCACAGGCUAAUACU
rnacentral:rRNA from 1 species